rnacentral:snRNA from 1 species
AAAAGUACAUGGCAGGGGAGACACCAGGAUCAUGAAGGUAGUUUUCCAGGGUGAGGUUCAGCGAUUGCACUNNGGGUGGGCUGACCCCUGAGAUUUCUCCAGAUGCGGGAAACUCGACUGCAUAAUUUGUAGUAGUGGUGGACUGCAUUCGUGCUUUCCACCG